rnacentral:rRNA from 1 species
AGCGAACGCUGGAGGCAGGCCUAACACAUGCAAGUCGAACGAACUCUUCGGAGUUAGUGGCGGACGGGUGAGUAACACGUGGGAACGUGCCUUUAGGUUCGGAAUAACUCAGGGAAACUUGUGCUAAUACCGAAUGUGCCCUUCGGGGGAAAGAUUUAUCGCCUUUAGAGCGGCCCGCGUCUGAUUAGCUAGUUGGUGAGGUAAAGGCUCACCAAGGCGACGAUCAGUAGCUGGUCUGAGAGGAUGAUCAGCCACAUUGGGACUGAGACACGGCCCAAACUCCUACGGGAGGCAGCAGUGGGGAAUCUUGCGCAAUGGGCGAAAGCCUGACGCAGCCAUGCCGCGUGAAUGAUGAAGGUCUUAGGAUUGUAAAAUUCUUUCACCGGGGACGAUAAUGACGGUACCCGGAGAAGAAGCCCCGGCUAACUUCGUG